rnacentral:rRNA from 1 species
UACGUAGGUGGCAAGCGUUGUCCGGAAUUAUUGGGCGUAAAGCGCGCGCAGGCGGUUUUUUAAGUCUGAUGUGAAAGCCCCCGGCUCAACCGGGGAGGGUCAUUGGAAACUGGGAAACUUGAGUGCAGAAGAGGAAAGUGGAAUUCCAAGUGUAGCGGUGAAAUGCGUAGAGAUUUGGAGGAACACCAGUGGCGAAGGCGACUUUCUGGUCUGUAACUGACGCUGAGGCGCGAAAGCGUGGGGAGCAAACAGG